rnacentral:rRNA from 1 species
GCUUAACCUGGGAACUGCAUUUGAAACUGGCAGGCUAGAGUCUCGUAGAGGGGGGUAGAAUUCCAGGUGUAGCGGUGAAAUGCGUAGAGAUCUGGAGGAAUACCGGUGGCGAAGGCGGCCCCCUGGACGAAGACUGACGCUCAGGUACGAAAGCGUGGGGAGCAAACAGGAUUAGAUACCCUGGUAGUCCACGCUGUAAACGAUGUCGAUUUGAAGGUUGUGGUCUUGAGCCGUGGCUUUCGGAGCUAACGCGUUAAAUCGACCGCCUGGGGAGUACGGCCGCAAGGUUAAAACUCAAAUGAAUUGACGGGGGCCCGCACAAGCGGUGGAGCAUGUGGUUUAAUUCGAUGCAACGCGAAGAACCUUACCUACUCUUGACAUCCAGAGAACUGAGCAGAGAUGCUUAGGUGCCUUCGGGAACUGUGAGACAGGUGCUGCAUGGCUGUCGUCAGCUCGUGUUGUGAAAUGUUGGGUUAAGUCCCGCAACGAGCGCAACCCUUAUCCUUUGUUGCCAGCGAUUCGGUCGGGAACUCAAAGGAGACUGCCGGUGAUAAACCGGAGGAAGGUGGGGAUGACGUCAAGUCAUCAUGGCCCUUACGAGUAGGGCUACACACGUGCUACAAUGGCGCAUACAAAGAGAAGCGAUCUCGCGAGAGUCAGCGGACCUCAUAAAGUGCGUCGUAGUCCGGAUUGGAGUCUGCAACUCGACUCCAUGAAGUCGGAAUCGCUAGUAAUCGUGGAUCAGAAUGCCACGGUGAAUACGUUCUCGGGCCUUGUACACACCGCCCGUCACACCAUGGGAGUGGGUUGCAAAAGAAGUAGGUAGCUUAACCUUAGGGAGGGCGUUUACCACUUUGUGAUUCAUGACUGGGGUGAAGUCGUAACAAGGUAACC